rnacentral:rRNA from 1 species
AAUCUUUCGCAAUGGGCGAAAGCCUGACGCAGCCAUGCCGCGUGAGUGAUGAAGGNCUNNGGAUUNUNAAAUUCUUUCACCGGNNNNNAUAAUGACGGUACUCGGAGAAGAAGCCCCGGCUAACUUCGUGCCAGCAGCCGCGGUAAUACGAAGGGGGCUAGCGUUGCUCGGAAUUACUGAGCGGAAAGGGCGCGUAGGCGGACAUUUAAGUCAGGGGAGAAAUCCCAGAGCUCAACUAUGGAUCUGACUUUGAUACUGGGUGUCUUGAGUGUGAGAGAGGUAUGUGGAACUCCGAGUGUAGAGGUGAAAUUCGUAGAUAUUCGGAAGAACACCAGUGGCGAAGGCGACAUACUGGCUCAUUACUGACGCUGAGGCGCGAAAGCGUGGGGAGCAAACAG